AGAUAUUUUAAAAAAGAUGUCUCGAUGAAAACAGCAACAGUUUCACAGUUUUAUUUCCUCUCUCUUCUAUUUAAGUUGCAUAUGGAUUGGAUUCUUAAUGAAGAUUAAACACAACUAACAAAGGUACGUAUGUAUCAAAACCAGUCAAAAGGAUCCCUAAGAAGUGUAGCUCGAGGUUGGAUUUCCUGGCCCUCCCAAAGCGACCACCCAAAGAUUUUCAAGCACCAAUAAUACUUCCUAUCAAAAUAAGUCGCAAAGCUAAAACUGCAGUUGCAUCAAAUCGAAUCUCUGAACUUGCCAUUCCAUUAGAACGAAAGAUAACUCCCAAAUAUGAAAGAGAGGACUCCUUAAAUUCUCAGCGCCAUCCCUAUCAUAUUCCACUAAGUUCAAGGAUGGAGAAGUUAGCACUUAGCAAGCCACUACAUCCAGAUUUUGUACCUAUACAACCAGUCCAAAGACCCAUUAAUAGAGCGAUGCUGAAUGUAAUUCCUUCUCAAAGAAUUGUGGAACUGAGUAAACCAAUUAUUCGGAAAACGAGGCGUAUAAACUUCAACCCUUUCCAAGUGCAUCCAGGUACGCAGAUUGCAAAAGCCUCCGAGCGAAUAAUGCAGCUAGCACAACCUAAAAAGUUUCCCUUUAAGAUUUCUCCGAGAUUUCCAAGAUGUUAGCACUUAGCAAGCUGUUGCAGCUAGACUUCAUACCUGAGUAACUCAUCCAAAGACGUACCAGCAGACCAAUAUCGAAUGUUAUUCUUUCACAGGAACUUGUCGACUUGAGUAAACUAUAUCUUUGGAAAAUGAGGUCAAUAACUUAUGACCUAGUGAAUCCAGCUAUGCAGAUGGUAAAUGCCACUGAGUGAAUAUUGACUCUAGCAAAACCAAAGAGGUUGCACGCUGAGGUCACUUUUUGAAUUUUUAAAUUUUGUGAAUGCCCUUUUGAAAUUCAUUUGUUAAUCAUUGUAUAUUGAUGCGAGCAAAACCC